AAAAAACUUUCGGAGUCACGCGAGGCUGUUUUGGAAAUAAAGCGAGUAUAUAUAAAAUAGGCAUGAUUUUGUGGGUUUACCAAUUACCCCUACAGAAAUCGACGACACGCGCUCAACGCGAGGUUGGUGCGAGUGGGCAUGGAAUGGAGCGCGUGGCGCGAGGUUGGUGCGAGUGGGCGAAGUCCAGAGUGCGCUGAUUGGCUGAAAAAAUAGAAAUAGUGUUGAUGUAGCUCCUCCUCUCCUCCUCUAUUAUUAAUUCUUCGUCAUUCUUCAGUUCUGAAAGUUGGGUGGUUUUAAGAUGCAAUUGAGUUUUAUUCUGAGGUUUUUAGUUAUUUUGAAAUCAUUGAUUAAUGUCACCAAAAAAAAAAUAGAAUGGAUUUUGAGAUACUAAAAAUUUCAUUUUCAUUUUGUUCUACAAACAUUGAAAACUAGAUUCAGCUGAGCCCCUGAAGAAAUCAAAGUGAGUUGAAUAUUUUUCUAAAAAUGUGAAAACUGGUAAAAGUUUGUCCUCAUUUUGCUAGAAAAAGGAUUCACUUUA
rnacentral:sRNA from 1 species